rnacentral:lncRNA from 1 species
AAGGGGCAUUAGAUUCAUCAAGAGGCUGAGACGGAUCACAUAAGAAAUGAGGAGGUCUGACCUCAUUCAGGGAAAAGGUAACGAAGAGUAUGGUGCAGAAGGGAGGGGUUAGAGGAGACUCCAUAGAGAUGAAUGAACAGCACCUGGACAGUGAUUGGAUUUGGGAACUGAAGAAUUCAAAGCCAUGGGGACAAGCAUGAUGAGGAAGAAGUCACUUGAGAGGAUAGUCUUGUUGGCUUCUGUCUGUGCGUGGCCAGAGGGCCAAAAGCCAAGGCCCCUUGGUGACUGCAGGAGCCAAUUGGAUUUUGACCCCACAGCCAAUCAGAAGGCUUUGAUCUUUCGGAUGAGCAAGUUGAGAGAAGAACAGAAAUGUCAAGGUUUGCCUUCCCAAAAUGAGGUGACGAAACAGCUUUGAGAAGAGGCCAGCCAGAGGAGCACUGUGGCCCGUGUGGGCUCUGCUUUGAACAGACCCUUGCUUGGAGGGAACCUAAGACAGCUUGCAGCCUUGUCCAGGCACCUGUGUGGUCCUGCAGAGGAAAGAUACAGACCUUAUCUCCUGGGCUCCAACCCAGGGCCAGGGAGUUUUCUGCCAGCGGAAAACAGCAGACACUGAUCUGCACGAACUAAAAGGAUGAGUCCAUACCUUCCGGGAUAUGCAAAUUGGGCAACAGAAAAUCUCGACCCGAUUGUUCCUGCUGCAGAAAAUAAGCAUGAUCAGUUUGUAUGCAAUGAUUUAAUUUAUUAUUGUUAUCUAAAUUUUGUUUUAAAUGGCUGGUUUUUAGCUCCAGAUCAGUGCAUUUUGCAUUGAAGAAGUGCUUUACACGUUUUUAAAAUACUUUUAUAUUUAUUGUUACUGAAUAACUGGCCUCCAUUUUCUCAUUUGGGAGUUGUGGGAACUGAACAAGAUCAGGGGAAAAUGACAGAUACCAUUACACAUGCCAGCCCAGCUUGAUCUGCAGCCCUGUAUUAAGAAGGAUUCUGAGGCUACU